CGAUCAACGGAACAGAUUAAGAGCAUAACAACAUACCCUAUCACAUGUGGAUCUUUAAAUUCUCACAUUACUAAAAGUUCUCUCAAUGUGGCUUGAAAAGGGCAACAUAGGAAGUAAAAGAAAAGAAAAUCAUCACAUGUAUCAGGACACUUAUAAUUCACAUGCUUCAAAGCCUGUAAAUCUUGGAUUCUAAUAGUGACAAUAAUCCUUCAAACAAGCACAUAGAUUCACUCUUUUACCCGACGCUCCAAAAUAAUGAAGGCCUCUCAAAUACUCAUCCAUGUACAGAAACUAAAGAAGACAAGAAAAAGCACAUCAACACAGAUUAUUUAUUUACCAAAAAGAUAACUUUCUAAUGUGUCAAACCAGAUUUAGCACACAGAUCUAGCAGCAAAGAAUUGAAACUCAACAUGUCACACAUACUACAUUAAUAACAACUUCAUCCUUCAAUUAUCCAUGCAAGUCAUGAAGUCAGAUCCCAUGUGCAUCCUCUUAUUGAAUUUACAGCAUGCUUUAGUCAUCGAUUACAUCAAACAUUUCAAACUCAACUCUAAUCUAUCACUAGAUAUAAGGAGAUAUUGAGGAAACACAUAUAAAGAUAAACUGAAACUUAAAAUCUGGAUAUGAAUUUCAUAUUACAAAUAUAUCUUUCAAAGAGAAAACAAAGAAGAGCAUGCUUGCAUUCCAAUGGCCACUCAAAGUUCAAAAGGUACCUAGAUACAACAAAAAAAUAGAGUGAAGUAAGAAAUUCAGCAAGGAAGGCCAGCAGCAGAAAGAACAACAGUAUCAACUAACAACAGCCCCAAUAUCAAUCCAUAUUUUGAAUCAGAAAACAAGAAAUCCAGAGAAAGUUUUUCUAAAUUCUUGCUAAAGAAAAUUAGAAGAAAUAAAAACCAGCUUCGAAUGAAACAGUGCAGAACUUUUUGGAGUGUUUUUAGGAUCUGAAAUCUCUCCUACUAAGUGAAGAAAGGUUCUAUUUAUAGCUAUAAAAAAUGUCAUGUGCUGAAAAGGAUAAGGAAUUAUUCCCUUCAGCCACAAAGAGCAUCUUUAAAUAGAAUUGGACAACUGGCUGCCCCUAAUUGGUUUCAGUAUUUUGUAUUGGUCAAAUAGGGUCAGCUGCCCAUAUUCUAGAACCUUCUCACAUGGCCUUAUCUGAAUUUCCUAUUUACUCACCCUUCCAAUGACCCCCCUGAAGUUUUCCUUUUAUUCAAUUAACCCCUCAUAAUUUUCAAUUGAUGUCACAAUAGUAAAAACAUAUUGCUGAACGAAACAAACUAAUUGGGGUUCAAAAUCUAACCUAAAACUAAUAAGACACACAGCAAACGCUAACAAUUAUUUGGAAAAGUAAACUAAGCAAGGCAUGACUGAACACUAAACGACAUCUAACACAGAGGAUAAUGAAUAAGCAAACAAGGCAAACAAUAAUUAACCUAAAGACCUAGCUGGAUUACUAUCUUUAAAAAACCUGAUUCGAUUUUCUUUAAACACCUAAAGUGAUUAAUAAUUAACGACUAACAAUUUAAACAAAACAUUAAUCAUAGAAUAAUGUCAAACUUUAAGUAAAAUGAAGGAGAAAUAAACAAAUAAUAUAGAAUAGCAACAACUAGUGUGGAUAGUACUAAGACGAAAGAAAUUAAACCUAAAAUGAAGACAAGAAACAUACCUAUUGAAAAGACAAAGAAGAACUUGAUGCAGAUCUAUGGCUUGACUUCGAAAUAAUUCGGAAUUGACCCCAAAUGAUUGUUCUUGUUAAGAACAAUCUAUUUGGGGUAUCCGAACUACACGAAUAUAAAGGAUUGUAAAGAAACGGAACAUGCAAGAACAGAUUUUCUUUUUUGAUUCUCAGAUCCGAAAUUGGAAGGGUUCAGCGGGGAUUUAAGGAGAGCCAUUUAUGGAUUUGGAAAGAGGGGGGAAGGAUGAUUGUGUGGUGAACAUUUGGGGCGGUUUGGGGCGUCGCCUCCGCUGUGAGGUGAUUUCCGAUGGGGCGGCGGCUGGUGGUGAAGGGCUGGAGAAUUGGGGUGGCUAGGAUUUGAGAGAAGUGAAAGGGAGAUAAGAGAAUGAAGGUUUGGUCUUUAGGUUUUGGGGGGGAGGGGUUUCGGACAAUUAUAAG
rnacentral:lncRNA from 1 species